rnacentral:rRNA from 1 species
GACGAACGCUGGCGGCGUGCCUAAUACAUGCAAGUCGAGCGGAACUUAGAAAGCUUGCUUUCUAAGUUUUAGCGGCGGACGGGUGAGUAACACGUGGGCAACCUGCCUAUAAGACUGGGAUAACUUCGGGAAACCGGAGCUAAUACCGGAUAAUAUAAAAGAUCACAUGGUCUUUUAUUGAAAGAUGGCUUCGGCUAUCACUUAUAGAUGGGCCCGCGGCGCAUUAGCUAGUUGGUGAGGUAAUGGCUCACCAAGGCGACGAUGCGUAGCCGACCUGAGAGGGUGAUCGGCCACACUGGGACUGAGACACGGCCCAGACUCCUACGGGAGGCAGCAGUAGGGAAUCUUCCGCAAUGGACGAAAGUCUGACGGAGCAACGCCGCGUGAACGAUGAAGGCCUUCGGGUCGUAAAGUUCUGUUGUUAGGGAAGAACAAGUAUCGUUCGAAUAGGGCGGUACCUUGACGGUACCUAACCAGAAAGCCACGGCUAACUACGUG